UACGUAGGUGGCAAGCGUUGUCCGGAAUUACUGGGUGUAAAGGGAGCGCAGGCGGAACUGCAAGUUGGGUGUUUAAUCUACGGGCUCAACCCGUAUCAGCAUUCAAAACUGUGGUUCUUGAGUAAUGCAGAGGUAGGCGGAAUUCCCGGUGUAGCGGUGGAAUGCGUAGAUAUCGGGAGGAACACCAGUGGCGAAGGCGGCCUACUGGGCAUCAACUGACGCUGAGGCUCGAAAGCAUGGGUAGCAAACAGGAUUAGAUACCCUGGUAGUCCAUGCUGUAAACGAUGAUUACUAGGUGUGGGAAGAUUGACCCUUUCCGUGCCGCAGUUAACACAAUAAGUAAUCCACCUGGGGAGUACGACCGCAAGGUUGAAACUCAAAGGAAUUGACGGGGGCCCGCACAAGCAGUGGAGUAUGUGGUUUAAUUCGAAGCAACGCGAAGAACCUUACCAGGUCUUGACAUCCAACGACCGCCUAAGAGAUUAGGCUUUCCUUCGGGACGUUGAGACAGGUGGUGCAUGGUUGUCGUCAGCUCGUGUCGUGAGAUGUUGGGUUAAGUCCCGCAACGAGCGCAACCCUUAUUACUAGUUACUACGCAAGAGGACUCUAGUGAGACUGCCGUUGACAAAACGGAGGAAGGUGGGGAUGACGUCAAAUCAUCAUGCCCUUUAUGACCUGGGCUACACACGUACUACAAUGGCUAUUAACAGAGAGAAGCGAGACCGCAAGGUGGAGCAAGCCUCAGAAAAAUAGUCUCAGUUCGGAUUGGGGGCUGCAACCCGCCCCCAUGAAGCCGGAAUUGCUAGUAAUCGCGGAUCAGCAUGCCGCGGUGAAUACGUUCCCGGGCCU
rnacentral:rRNA from 1 species